CAAGACAGUGUGAUUGCACAAGAGAUUUUUAGAAGCCAAGCCUGGAAUUGGCAUAAACCAUUUCCACUCACAUUCCAUUAUCUGUAUGAUAUAUAGUCACAUGACACAUGCCUCUAACUUCUAAAUACACGGGAAACUGAAAAAUCUACCUUUCUUGUCUGUCCAAGAAGAUGGAAGCAAGUUGCUAUCUGGCCAGCCUCUCCUCUUUCAUAAUCCGUCUGGUCACCAAAUAUCCAUUUUGAUCUUCCUCCCACACACAGACCACACCUAUCCACUCCCCAGAAGUUCAACACCAAAUCCUCACCAGUUACAGAUUUCAGAUCCAAAAUUUCAGGUGAUGUUCAAUACACCAUCAAGUCUGCAAAAGAUUCCUUAUUCACUGAUGCCGAAUUGACUAAAACAACCUGUUUUCUGCUCCUCCUUUUCCCACAUUUACUCAUUACUCAGUAUAUUCAGUGGUGGAACGGGGACAGGAUUAACUUCNGACUAAAACAACCUGUUUUCUGCUCCUCCUUUUCCCACAUUUACUCAUUAAUCAGUAUAUUCAGUGGUGGAAUGGGGACAGGAUUAACUUCAAUAAACACCCCAACCAGAAAGAGGAGAAAUGGGAUACAUAUGGUUGUCACUGGACAGACAUUCUACUGGCCACCUGUUCUGUGUUCUGGGGUGGGGAAGAGUUUAUUGAUUUAAUCUGGAUUCUGUUCUCUAUGAGGAACCCCCUCAUCCACAGUUCUCCUUGGUCCUUGCCUCUGCCCUCCGGGAGGAUAUCCAUCUAAAGUGGAUAUAUUGAGGAGCAUGCCCUCUGUGAAGGCUCUUAAAUAACUGAAGCUAUAUUCCACUCAUGAAAAUUCUGGGUUCCAGUGUUUCUAAACUAGGAUUGAGUUUUGGGUGGGAAUUAAUUCCCUCAAAUAUUCAGUUGACUUCUAAUCACAUUGCUUCCUGUAAGUUCCAUGUUCUGCACACCAGUAACCACACCCCAAGUUAUUUUCUAGACACAGUACAAUGUGGCAUUUUAAAAAGACUAUGAAGGAAAAAAAAAAAGCCCAGUAAAAUUUCUUUGUUGAAUGAAAUGACUCAGGGGGAAAAUCAAAUUAAGGGUGUGGUCCUCCCAUUCAAGCCAGUCAACUUCAAGAUAGCCAACACUAAAUUGAGAGAAGAAGUAAGGCGUACUGACAAGAAACCAAAUAAAUAAGGCCAGCAAGAGAUUUAAUUAACUCAAGCUGCUUUAACAAAUUCUCUUUCACCUAAAUUGCCUCCGUUCCUUUUUUCAGAUUUGUUUUGUGGGGACACACGUCUCUUCAAUACCCUUACAAACAUACCAGUUAGAUUUUUUUUAUUCACAUGGCAAAAGUUAUUAAAUACACAGCUGCUAUUCUUGGUUUGAGAAAUUCAGGUGUGUCAAGGGUAGCAUGUCUGUGAAUCUUUUGCUUUGUCCUGUCAAGAACAUCAUUAUUCAUGGACGGAAUGAGGAGGAGGUGUGAUAUCAGUAAUACGUCCCCUUUAGCAGGAAAUUAUUUAACAUUGCCAGCUGGUAUUUAUCAUUCUGCCUGUGUUCUACACAGUUUAAGGGGGGCAGUACUUUUAAAUGUCUAAGCUUAAAUUAAGUAAAAUGGACCUAUUAAUUAAAACAUCAGAAUCAGAACAAAAAAUACAUAGCAUUUAAUAUUUAAUAAAAUCUUAUAGCUUGGAAAAUGUUAAACAAAUUGAAUGUUACACAAAUUGCCUUAUGUUACAAUAUGGAAAAGUGGAAAUAAUUUGUAAAUUAGAAAACUUUUACAAAUUAAUUUUUAUCUUCUGUGAGAUAUUGAAAUAGACUGAAAAAAAUUUAAAUACCAAAAAUAAAGUCACUUAUAAUGACUUUGAUAAACAAUGCUGAUUCAGUUCUUUUAGCUAUGGGUAAGAUAAACAUGGGUAACAACUUAAUCUUGAUAUAUAAGGAAAGGGCUUCCCCAGGGGCUUAGUGGUAAAGAACCCACCUACAAUGCAGGAGACAUGGCAGGGGCCACGGGUUCAAUUCCUGGGUUGGGAAGAUCCCUUGGACAAGGAAAUGGCAACCCACUCCAGUGAAAAACCCCAUGGCUAGCUCACGGGGUUGCAAAAGAAACAGACACAACUUAGCAACUAAGCAUAAGGGAAGGAAGAGAGGCGGGGUCUAGUUUCCUUGAUAACUGCAUCUGGCUAACCAGAUUUGCAUGGGUAACCACAUUC
rnacentral:lncRNA from 1 species